rnacentral:SRP_RNA from 1 species
GCUGGGUGCAGUGGCUCACGCCUGUAAUCCCAGCACUUUGGGAGGCUGAGGUGGGUGGAUCACCUGAGGUCAGGAGUUCAAGACCAGCCUGACCAACAUGGUGAAACCCCAUCUCUA